rnacentral:rRNA from 1 species
AUUGAACGCUGGCGGCAGGCCUAACACAUGCAAGUCGAGCGGAUGAAGGGAGCUUGCUCCUGGAUUCAGCGGCGGACGGGUGAGUAAUGCCUAGGAAUCUGCCUGGUAGUGGGGGAUAACGUCCGGAAACGGGCGCUAAUACCGCAUACGUCCUGAGGGAGAAAGUAGGGGAUCUUCGGACCUCACGCUAUCAGAUGAGCCUAGGUCGGAUUAGCUAGUUGGUGGGGUAAAGGCCUACCAAGGCGACGAUCCGUAACUGGUCUGAGAGGAUGAUCAGUCACACUGGAACUGAGACACGGUCCAGACUCCUACGGGAGGCAGCAGUGGGGAAUAUUGGACAAUGGGCGAAAGCCUGAUCCGGCCAUGCCGCGUGUGUGAAGAAGGUCUUCGGAUUGUAAAGCACUUUAAGUUGGGAGGAAGGGCAGUAAGUUAAUACCUUGCUGUUUUGACGUUACCAACAGAAUAAGCACCGGCUAACUUCGUG